rnacentral:rRNA from 1 species
CCCUUAGAUGUUCUGGGCUGCACGCGCGCUACACUGAUGCGUUCAUCGAGUAUAUAACCUUGCCUGGAAAGGUUGGGUAAUCUUCUCAAAACGCAUCGUGAUGGGGAUAGAUUAUUGCAAUUAUUAAUCUUCAACGAGGAAUUCCUAGUAAGCGCGAGUCAUCAGCUCGUGCUGAUUACGUCCCUGCCCUUUGUACACACCGCCCGUCGCUCCUACCGAUUGAGUGAUUCGGUGAAUAAUUCGGACUGCCGCGGCUUUCAGUAAUGGGAGCUGCAGCGGGAAGUCUAGUAAACCUCAUCACUUAGAGGAAGGAGAANUCGUANCA